rnacentral:rRNA from 1 species
AUGAACGCUAGCGACAGGCUUAACACAUGCAAGUCGAGGGGUAACAGGGUAGCAAUACCGCUGACGACCGGCGCACGGGUGAGUAACGCGUAUGCAACCUGCCUAUAACUGGGGAAUAGCUCCCUGAAAGGGGAAUUAACACCGCAUAACACUAUUGAUUCGCAUGGAUUAGUAGUUAAAUGUAGCGAUACAGGUUAUAGAUGGGCAUGCGUGACAUUAGCUAGUUGGUGAGGUAACGGCUCACCAAGGCUACGAUGUCUAGGGGUUCUGAGAGGAAGGUCCCCCACACUGGUACUGAGACACGGACCAGACUCCUACGGGAGGCAGCAGUGAGGAAUAUUGGUCAAUGGGCGCAAGCCUGAACCAGCCAUGUCGCGUGCAGGAAGACUGCCCUAUGGGUUGUAAACUGCUUUUAUAGUAGAAGAAACACAUCUACGUGUAGAUGUCUGCCAGUAUACUAUGAAUAAGCAUCGGCUAACUCCGUGCCAGCAGCCGC